rnacentral:rRNA from 1 species
AUUGAACGCUGGCGGCAUGCCUAACACAUGCAAGUCGAGCGGAGGAAGGGGGCUUUCUCCUUGCUUCAGCGACUUACGGGUGAGUAAUUCCUAGGAAUCUGCCUUGUAUUGUGGGAUAACGUCCGUAAACGGACCCUAAUACCGCAUCCGUCCUGAGUGGGAAAGUCGUGGAUCUUCUUACCUCACGCUAUCAGCUCAACCUAGGUGGGAUUCUCUAGUGGGUUGGGUAAAGGCCUACCAAGUCGACCAUCCGUACCGGGUCGCAGAGGAUGAUCAGUAAAACUGGAAUGGAGACACGGUCCAGACUCCUACGGGGGGAAGCAGAGGGGAAUAUUGGAAAAUGGGGGAAAGCUUGCUCCAGACAGGCGGGGUGUGUGAAGAAGGUCUUCGGAUUGUAAAGUACGUUAAGUGGGGAGGAAGGGCAGUAAGUUAAUAACUUGAUGUUUUGACGUUAGCAAAAGAAUAAGCAACGGCUAACUUCGUG